rnacentral:pre_miRNA from 1 species
GGAUUCUUAUAGGACAGUAUGUUCUUCCAGGACAGAACAUUCUUUGCUAUUUUGUACUGGAAGAACAUGCAAAACUAAAAAAAAAAAAAAAAAAGUUAUUGCU